rnacentral:rRNA from 1 species
GGGGAAUAUUGGACAAUGGGCGAAAGCCUGACGCAGCGACGCCGCGUGCGGGAGGACGCUUUUCGGAGUGUAAACCGCUGUCAGAGGGGAAGAAAUGCCACCUGAGGAAAUGCGGGUGGUUUGACGGUACCCUCAAAGGAAGCACCGGCUAACUCUGUGCCAGCAGCCGCGGUAAUACAGAGGGUGCGAGCGUUGUUCGGAAUUACUGGGCGUAAAGCGCGCGCAGGCGGCCCGUUAAGUCUGUCGGUCAAACGCCGGGGCUCAACCCCGUGCUCGCCGGAGAUACUGGAGGGCUGGAGACAGGUAGAGGCAGGCGGAAUUCCGGGUGUAGCGGUGGAAUGCGUAGAGAUCCGGAAGAACACCAGAGGCGAAGGCGGCCUGCUGGGCCUUGUCUGACGCUGAGGCGCGAAAGCGUGGGGAGCGA